CAGGAUGAACGCUAGCUACAGGCUUAACACAUGCAAGUCGAGGGGCAGCAUGGUCUUAGCUUGCUAAGGCUGAUGGCGACCGGCGCACGGGUGAGUAACGCGUAUCCAACCUACCCCAUAGUAGGGGAUAGCCCGUAGAAAUGCGGAUUAAUACCCUAUGUUUUCCGAGGAGGACAUCUGACUUGGAACAAAGAUUCAUCGCUAUGGGAUGGGGAUGCGUCCGAUUAGCUUGUUGGCGGGUGACGGCCCACCAAGGCGACGAUCGGUAGGGGUUCUGAGAGGAAGGUCCCCCACACUGGUACUGAGACACGGACCAGACUCCUACGGGAGGCAGCAGUGAGGAAUAUUGGUCAAUGGGCGAGAGCCUGAACCAGCCAAGUAGCGUGCCAGGAAGACGGCCCUACGGGUUGUAAACUGCUUUUAUCAGGGGAUAAAGUGUGGGACGCGUCCCUCAUUGCAGGUACCUGAUGAAUAAGGACCGGCUAAUUCCGUGCCAGCAGCCGC
rnacentral:rRNA from 1 species